GACGUAGGGGGCGAGCGUUGUCCGGAUUUAUUGGGCGUAAAGCGUGCGUAGGCUGCUGCGCAAGUCGGUUGUGAAACCCCGGGGCUCAACCCCGGAACUGCAUCCGAUACUGCGUGGCUAGAGGUAGGUAGGGGAGAUCGGAAUUCCUGGUGUAGCGGUGAAAUGCGCAGAUAUCAGGAGGAACACCGGUGGCGAAGGCGGUUCUCUGGGCAUGUCCUGACGCUGAGGAGCGAAAGUGUGGGGAGCGAACAGG
rnacentral:rRNA from 1 species